AAUAGCUGGGCAGGUAGAGGUUAGGAGAACUUAUAGACAAAGGAGAGCUUGAAGAAGACAGAAUUCUGAGAACGGUGAGGGGAUGUGGAGAGGAGAAGGACUUGACAGACUGAGAAAAGGUUCUUAUCUUCCUGUCUUGGAUGUGAUCCACCGUUUAAUUAAAGCUGCCCCUUGAGCAUGGAUGUGAAGUCAUUUACGGAACAUAGCUGGCUAACCAGUGGCUACCCCACUGAAGAAGGUGUUGCUCCUUCCCCCAGUCAGCGCUGAACGUCAGUCAUGGUGUGAAGCUCAUCUGACCAUUUAGAUCUCCCCCAUUCUCAGUGAGCUGUUGUGGGACCCAGUUUCAUGUAGGUCGUGUGUAGAUAUCAUGGCUGCAAUGCUGUAUGUUUAACAAACAAAAGAAAAGUAUUCUGAGCAAAUAAUCUGUAUUAUUUUUAACCACCUCACAGACUAGGCAUGAUCAGGGUGAUAUUACCAAACAAUGGGAUAACUUCAAAACAGAUUUCAAAAAUUUAAGGAAAUCCCCAAAUAAGUUUUUCCUUUUUCUGAACUGUGUUUAAAUGCCCUCAAGUUGUUGGAUAUUUUCUCAACAGAUUUUCCUGUCAUCAGACAUUGAGAAUGUCUCAUGCAACCCUUUGGGUGAAGUGGAAUUUUUACCUCUCAAUUCAUUUACAGAAUGGAGCACGUUUCAGAGGAAUUACGAUAUGGAAUCAGUGUAUAUUCAGGAACGGUCUGGUGCGUGACCCUGGAUAACUUCUACCUGCCAAACCCUUGGAAAAAUGAAGAACAAAGCCCUUAGCUCAGCACACAAGGCCCUCUUCCAACAGGGCACCAUCUGCCAUGUGAACCCCCUCUGCGGCCUAUGCCCACACCCAUUUUUUUUUCUAUUUAGCAAUAACCCUGACUAUUUUCAGAAUCUAUAUCCUGUCACCCUCUGGGAACCCCACGAGGGUCCUUGAAGGCUGGUCAGAAUGCACUCCCGUGGUAACAAGAGUGGGACACCGAUUGGGAACUCACUGCUUGUUUUAAUAAACAUCACAUUGCUCUUUCUACUGUAA